rnacentral:sRNA from 1 species
AGUAGUUGGGAUUACAGGCAUGCACCACCACACCUGGCUAAUUUUGUAUUUUUAGUAGAGACUGGGUUUCUCCAUACUGGUCAGACUGGUCUCGAACUCCCAACCUCAGGUGAUCUGCCUGCCUUGGCCUCCCAAAGUGCUGGGAUUACAGGCAUGAGCCAUCGCACCCGGCCCCAUCAGGUUGUUUUUGUUCAACAGGAGUCUCUUGUAUGGCUCAGGACUGUCCACUCCGUACACCAGAGGACUUUGUGUUUCCAUUGCUUCCCAAUGAAGAAUUGAGAGAGAAAUACAGGCGCUACCUCUUCAGGGACUAUGUGGAGAGUCAUUACCAGCUCCAGCUGUGCCCUGGUGCAGACUGCCCCAUGGUUAUUCGGGUACAGGAGCCUAGAGCUCGCCGAGUACAGUGCAAUCGGUGCAACGAGGUCUUCUGGUAAGAGUG